GAAUUCACAUAUUACCUCACCGUCAAAUAACACUUGAUUUACUUUUGUUGAUCAUUUGCAGGUGUUGUGUCUGUAACCACACAGUCACCAGCAUCCCCAGCUCAGACCUCCAUGGCAUCAACGCUGACAGUGACAGCUACUUCAACAAUGGCUACUAUGGCUGCUGCCUCCACUACUGCCCAGACAGCUGCCUCCACUACUGCCCCGACAGCUGCCCCUACAGCUUCUGCUACAACAGCUCUUGCCACAACAGCAUUAAAUACUGAUGAAGCAAGUGGAGAUGAGGGCAGCAUCACUCUGUCUUUUAGUCUUCAGCGAACAUUCAGUUCCGAUCUUCUCGAUACAACUUCAUCUGCAUUCACAGCACUGGAAUCAGAAGUGCUGUCUGACGUAAGCCCUCCGUCUGUUAUAAUUGUCAAGAUUGUGAUUUUAAUUUUCGAAAAUAUAUAUAUAGUAUACCCUACAUUAAUGCUUUCAUUAAUAUCUCAAUAUAUCCUUUUUGUAAAUACAGUUGAAUACAGUUUAUAA
rnacentral:lncRNA from 1 species